CAGGUAGAGAAUACCAAGGCGCUUGAGAGAACUCGGGUGAAGGAACUAGGCAAAAUGGUGCCGUAACUUCGGGAGAAGGCACGCUGAUAUGUAGGUGAAGUCCCUCGCGGAUGGAGCUGAAAUCAGUCGAAGAUACCAGCUGGCUGCAACUGUUUAUUAAAAACACAGCACUGUGCAAACACGAAAGUGGACGUAUACGGUGUGACGCCUGCCCGGUGCCGGAAGGUUAAUUGAUGGGGUCAGCGCAAGCGAAGCUCUUGAUCGAAGCCCCGGUAAACGGCGGCCGUAACUAUAACGGUCCUAAGGUAGCGAAAUUCCUUGUCGGGUAAGUUCCGACCUGCACGAAUGGCGUAAUGAUGGCCAGGCUGUCUCCACCCGAGACUCAGUGAAAUUGAACUCGCUGUGAAGAUGCAGUGUACCCGCGGCAAGACGGAAAGACCCCGUGAACCUUUACUAUAGCUUGACACUGAACAUUGAGCCUUGAUGUGUAGGAUAGGUGGGAGGCUUUGAAGUGUGGACGCCAGUCUGCAUGGAGCCGACCUUGAAAUACCACCCUUUAAUGUUUGAUGUUCUAACGUGGACCCGUGAUCCGGGUUGCGGACAGUGUCUGGUGGGUAGUUUGACUGGGGCGGUCUCCUCCUAAAGAGUAACGGAGGAGCACGAAGGUUGGCUAAUCCUGGUCGGACAUCAGGAGGUUAGUGCAAUGGCAUAAGCCAGCUUGACUGCGAGCGUGACGGCGCGAGCAGGUGCGAAAGCAGGUCAUAGUGAUCCGGUGGUUCUGAAUGGAAGGGCCAUCGCUCAACGGAUAAAAGGUACUCCGGGGAUAACAGGCUGAUACCGCCCAAGAGUUCAUAUCGACGGCGGUGUUUGGCACCUCGAUGUCGGCUCAUCACAUCCUGGGGCUGAAGUAGGUCCCAAGGGUAUGGCUGUUCGCCAUUUAAAGUGGUACGCGAGCUGGGUUUAGAACGUCGUGAGACAGUUCGGUCCCUAUCUGCCGUGGGCGCUGGAGAACUGAGGGGGGCUGCUCCUAGUACGAGAGGACCGGAGUGGACGCAUCACUGGUGUUCGGGUUGUCAUGCCAAUGGCACUGCCCGGUAGCUAAAUGCGGAAGAGAUAAGUGCUGAAAGCAUCUAAGCACGAAACUUGCCCCGAGAUGAGUUCUCCCUGACCCUUUAAGGGUCCUGAAGGAACGUUGAAGACGACGACGUUGAUAGGCCGGGUGUGUAAGCGCAGCGAUGCGUUGAGCUAACCGGUACUAAUGAACCGUGAGGCUUAACCUU
rnacentral:rRNA from 1 species